UGCACUGGUACAGGCUGGGGACCGACUGGCUGAAAAGGACCUGGGGAUUACAGUAAUUACCUAUCUCACAGAAGUGUUGUGAAGCUAGGUAAAGACUGUGAGGUGCUCAGCAAUUAUGGUAAUGAAAGGAGGCACAGAAGUACUUGAGAGAGGUGACAAAAUACCCAACCAUUCACUGAUUUAAAUGAAGUAGUGUCUACACAGUGCCAGAGAAUACACCAGCAAUAGUGACUGACUAUAAUCUACACAUUAAUUAAUGCAUGACAGCUGGGGUCACAGAGGCAUGGAAGAGGUUGUGUGCAUGGAAUCAAAGGCUGAAUUUGGAAGCGAGGUGAGCAGGCAACCUUCGUUAGAAAACCAGUAAUCUAAGAUCUGCUCCGAUGAAGUGAGCUGUAGCUCACGAAAGCUUAUGCUCUAAUAAAUUUGUUAGUCUCUAAGGUGCCACAAGUACUCCUUUUCUUUCUAAGAUCUGCUAUUGUCGACACUGUAAUCCGUAUGUUUAGUAAUAGAAUGAAAUUACAUUAGAAAUGGGUUUUAGGUACUAGGAAUAUCCCUUAUACUGUGUCACAAAAAUAGGGAGUGAAGAGGCUUGAAUCCUGUCUGCACUAGGAUUGGGUGAAAACCUGGGUGCUCUGCAGUUGAGUAUUUUUAUACAGAAUCUGAAUCUUUAAUUCAAAAUGAUUUACUACUGUAAACACACUUUCUAAAUGCUUUUCCUAAGCCAGUGUAGAGUGGCUCUUGAUCUAACAUUGCAGGGAAUGUUUGUUUCCCUUCCAGCAGUCAGUCAGUCAUGUCAGAGCAGAUCCUUGUCCUCUCCAUUUACAGUAAGAGCCAAGUCAGGGGACAGGAGUGCACUAGUAGGGUUUGUGUGGGUUAGUAUUUUGGACAACCCAACUGUAGAUUGGCCCUUAGUUCUCAAUGGUUUGGAAGGUUCAGAGGUUUCUGCACCCCUACUUGUAAGACUGCUGUUCAGUGCAUAAUCCUGGCAUGUAUCUCUUUGAACUUCAUUGUUAUAAUACUAGUUUCAAUCUCGUUUGAAAGUCUUUGAGUUUUAACCUUUUGUUGUUUAAGUUGCAUACUGUACUCUCAGCACUUACAGAAAUUGACCAGAAACUAGAUUGACCUGAAACCAAAGGGCUUUGUUGUUGACUUCAUUGGCACUAUACCAAUUUACACCAGCUGAGUUUUGCUGUGAGGUGGUUCGCUGGGGAAGGAACACGUCAGUUCCCUGCUACUGCUCUUUUUAAUCAGCAGUUUAGCUAGAGCUAUUUUAAAGUUCAAAGGAACUCCUUUUGAUAUCUUUGCCCUCUCUCUUUUUUGUUGUUCCUGUCAGACAUCAUUUGCUUCUGAGUUCUUUCUUGUUAGGAGUCAUUCAGUAAGAGAAUCCUUUGUAUCCCCUUCCUUCAAUAGAGUACAUAUUAAGGGCAAACUACUGCUACAAAGGCAAACAAGAAUGUUUGCCAGUAAAAUAGUUCGGGAACAGAAGAGGUGAGAUGGACUAUAAUGCUAUAGCAUGGAGCUCCUAGAUUUUCUUAUGGAAUGCAGACAAUUCAGUUUUGCAGAAGAAAAUUGGAACUUCCGGGCAAAGAUGUUGCCCCAAACUGAAUCUGGGAUAGUUUGAUGGUAAAAGAAAGGGGGGAGACAUCGACAAAGUGGCAGGUACCGUGGCCUAUCAAGGUAAUCUGGCAACGAAGGUCGUGCACAGCUUUGAUGUUUUCUCAUGCCUGUAACUGUUGAAACAACAGUUCAGCUAUGAAGGAGAUGCUGCCCUUUCAACAAGGCUGUUUUCUCUGUUCCUGUCUACGCUGCUGCAGCAUGCUCUAGUGUGGGAAGAGGGUGAAGAAACUUCUAAGCUAGAGCCGUUAGCCAAGAUUUCCAAAGGUCACUAGUGAUUUAGGUGCGUAACAUGCUAGUAAUUAUACAUAUGGAGUCUUUUGGCCUAGCUGUGUGCUUUUGGGUUAGUUUGCUCCGAAAUGUCCGUAAGAUAGCAGAAGGAGAAGCUGCUAUUCCGCAUUCCACGUUUUAUUACACACACGGCUAGCGAAUGCAUUCUCGCUGCAAGGUCCUGGCCGCCCUUUGUUCUGCAGCAAUAUGCUGUCUGUUUCACAAAGCUCUGAGAUGUGCCACUGGGUGGAGCUGAAUAACCACUUUGCUGUCCGAGCAGGAGCAAUAGCUUCAAAUGAUUUAUUUUUUAACAUGGUUUUAACCAUGUCACCCUCCUAUGGGCUUGCUAAGAAAACUUUGUUUAAACAAAUGUAUUAUAAGCAGGGACUAGAGGCUGUCAAAAUGGAUUAUUUUGGGUAAAUAUUUUAAUAAUUAAAAACAGGAAUU